GUUAGCUUCUCUUCAAAAGAUCCUUUAACAGUUACUGAGUAGUUAUAACUCGGCUUCGAUCCAAACUCUAGAGAUGGAACAUUUGAAGCAAAGCUUCGAGGAGUUUACAGAGUAAAAAGGUUCAAUGCUUGUGUUGUCUUGCGGUAAACCACGUGACCGAUGACAAACGAUGUCUCGCAUUUCCGUGAACACGUCACUGCUUCAUUUCGGGGGUGGAAUUUCAAAAUAAAAGCGCGAUGACACUUGUUGCUUCGUGGGUUGUUGUAGUGGUUUGGUCGCACGUCAGCAGAGAUAGGAGCAUCUGAGAAGAAUGGAGGCAACAAAAAAAGGAAAACUUCUCCCAUCUGGAAGUAAUUUGAAAUGUGUGCUAAAAACAAGGUUCCAGAAAGCAGGUGUUGGAUGAUGCUGUGAUCAAUCUUAUUGUAAAAGAUUCACAGCCCUUUACUGUUGUGGAAGACGAGGCGUUCAGGGAACUUGUUCAUUUGCUGAAUCCCUCCUAUGUUCUCCAUACUAGAAAAGGUUUAUGUGUGUACACAACAAGAUCAAAUGUAGUGCUAACCUAUAAUUGCAGUAAUUUCAAUUAAUUUACUUUCCUUCAAGGCAUGAAAGAAGAUGGUGGAGGAAAAAUAU